ACGCACGCUGGCGGCGUGCUUCACCCAUGCCAUUCGAACGGGUCUGCCCUGUUUUUUGCGGGGUGGGUCAGUGGCGAACGGGUGAGUAACACGUGAGUAACCUGCCCCUCACUUCUGGAUAACCGCUUGAAAGGGUGGCUAAUACGGGGUGUUCUGGCUGUGCCGCAUGGUGUGGCUGGGAAAGAUUCACUUUUGUGGUGUUUUGGUGGGGGAUGGGCUCGCGGCCUAUCAGCUUGUUGGUGGGGUGAUGGCCUGCCAAGGCUUUGACGGGUAGCCGGCCUGAGAGGGUGGGCGGUCACACUGGGACUGAGAUACGGCCCAGACUCCUGCGGGAGGCAGCAGUGGGGGGUAUUGCACAAUGGGCGGAAGCCUGAUGCAGCGACGUCGCGUGAGGGAUGGAGGCCUUCGGGUUGUGAACCUCUUUCGCCGGUGAAGAAGGUCCUGCUCUUUGUGGUGGGGUUGACGGUAGCCGGGUUAUGAAGCGCCGGCUAACUACGUG
rnacentral:rRNA from 1 species